GGCUCAACUCCUGCUGUUCCCUCUGUUCCCUUAUUUCCCAAAAUUUGAGCACUCGUUCCCCUCUGUUCCCUUCUCUCGUCUCCUGCCAAAAGACUUUGAAACUAUUGCAAAAAUAUUUCCCAAAACAACCCGAGAGGCUACAUUGUUCAUGUCAGGAAAAUUUUUUCCCAAAACCACAGCAGAUCAUUUGCCAUGUUCCCUUCUUCUUUCAAAGAAGAUCUGUCACCUUCAUGCUCAUAACUUGUGCCGAGAGGUCUCCAUUGUUCUGGUUUGCAGAAAAAAUCAGCAGGCAUUAACCAACAGGGGAAACUUCAUAGAAGAGAGAGAACCAAAAAAGUAGCAGAAAAACACCAGCUAGGGAAACACACACGAGAGAGAGAACCCAAAUUAGAGGAGCCAAAAAAUUCAGACAUAACGGUAUUGAACCGUCUUUGAAGAAUAAAUAUGACAGAAUGUAUUCCAACAUUAUCGCAACUAGAGAGUUUGCAUGGGCUCCUUCAUCAGGAGUACUUGGUGGCAAUGAUGUUGAUCUUGGCACAAGUAGUGCCAACAUUGAUCGUGCUAGUUUCGAAGAAGGAAGCGGUGAUUCGGAGGAGGAUGGGAUUCCAAAUUUCUAGACUGACAUGUCUCGAAUGGUUGGAGGGAUAAAUAUGUCAAGCAGCAUCAACACAAGGAGCAAUGACAAAAGAAAAGAACGAGAUCCUUCUGAGGUCCGAGGUAGAAAGAAGAAAACGUUUGGAAUUGGUGUUCGGCUGCUGUCAAGGUGCAAUCAACUACUUGAGAGUAUGUCGACUAAGAGUGAUUACACUUCUUUGAAUAUGGAUCGCGAAGGCUGUAGUAUUCACGAGGUGAUGGCUGAGCUCCACUCAAUUCCUGGAGUUUCAAUUGAAGAUGAGUUUCACAACUUUGCUACAGAGUAUUUGAGUUUAAGAAGGAAAAAAGAAAUGUGGGCCAGUAUGGGUGAUAAACAACAGAAGUUGAGAUGGUUGCAAUGAAUGUAUGCACGAAGUAAACGUGCUUAGCUGACAUGGUAUGAUUUCAUUUUCUUAACUGUUAAUUAAUUAACCAUGUUCAAGUGUUUACGGUAUUUAUACAUGUUUAUUUUAUUUUUGUAGAAUAAUGUGAUGACAGUUUUUAAAAGAGUAGUUUUUAUUUGCCGAAGUUUUUUCGAGUCAUUGUAUGAUUCCACAUUUCGUGUUGAGACAUAUGGGCAUAUCCAUUUGCGGUAAUUUUUUUA